CACACACAUACACAUACACAUCAACUCUCCCCUGCCCCCCCUUUCCGAAUUAAAAGUCGCCUUUUGUGCGGAUCUGGUUUCCCAGGCCUGUGCGCCCACAAGGGUCCUUCGGGUUCAAAACCCUGACUCGGGCCUGCGACAACACUGUAAAAAAAAAAAAAACAGCCCUCUUACAGAGAAGAGCAGUGAGAUAUCGGCUCAGUGCGAGCACGAAGCCUGAACAAACAGACCGCUGGAGGGGAAAUGGGGCUUGUACAAACUCAGUGACAUUACACAGUGGCCUUGAGAUUAUCUCCAGUGAAAAUGAGAUGCUAAACGAGAGCCACGGUUCGAGAAAAAGACGAGCUGAAGAACCUCUGCUGAGUCAUAGUGCUUCUGUAAUUUACUAAGGUCACGCGGCGUCAAACGAGCAGGAUUCCGACUCCGAAAAGACACUCUGACCUUGACGUUCUCCUGUUUCUCGUCUUCUAAAACCAGACCGAGGCUCACAAUAUCUUCCUAGCGCACCAGUUCUGAGCUUUAGCGUCUCAUAUAACAAUGCCCGGCUUUGGUCUCUUCUCGGAGGACGAGAGAUCAUUUUGUCGGGGAGCGACCUCAGAGGCGGCAUUCCGCCCACGUUUAUGCCGCUGUUUCGGCUUCGCGUCUCUCUGGGUUACGAAUCCAAGUCGUUUAAUGAACGGUGUUUUCUCUCAACACGAAUCCACACACAUCGGCGUACGGAAGGACGACUCGGAGAACUCGGGAGACACGGGACAGAUUUGGAUUCCCUUAAAAUAGGACGCUAAACCUGUGGCGUGUUCUUCCGAAAACAACAAGUCGAUGACACCAAGACGUCGAUCUAGGGAAAAAUCAAGUCCCGAGAAAGUUAUACACGAUGCCUGACGGUUAUAACGUUAUUUGUCGUGAUUUAUAAUCAGACCAGACAAUAAUUCCCAGCUAGGUCCUGGGUUAGCCUUACAUAUUUUCAUUUCUCAGACACGUCGGUUAAUUAGCUGUUUUGUUGGACCAGGAAUGUUAGGAGAACGGAUACUCCAGAACCGGGUUUAGGAACCACUGCGUCAGUUUUGACUUUAAAUGUAGGUUUGUGUUUUAGAAGGUUCACUCAUUGGUUUUCAGUAAGCGCUUUAUCCUGGUCAUUGUCCUGGAUCCAGAGUCUAUCCCAGGAACUCCGGCGAGGUGGGAAUAAAUCAUGGAUGGGACGUUCUCUGGAAGAUAAAAGUCUGGAUUUGGUAGAGUUAUGGAUUCACUGGAGAACAAACAGAAACAACAUUGUUACAUACAUCAGUCUUGGGGGGGAAAACAACGGUGUUCCUUCGAUACACAGAGGUGGGAAAUAAUCAUUACACUGCGACUAUACUUAAGUCCGGUUUUUCCGAACGUAUCUCACCUUCUACGUUUCAGUAGAAAACAAAAAUCAUACAUUAAUAUCUUUCAAACACGACAUCCCUGCAUGUCUCUAUAAUCAUAUAUGUGUAAAGAUUUAAGCUGACGUUUUUUGAUUGGAAAGCAGCAAUCAUGUGACCGAGAGAAUGAGAACUAACACCCGACACGGUAAUCUAUCUGCUUCUGCGUACGCUUUGUAUAGAGUUAAUAUUAUCCUAGCUAACAUUUGAGAGGUUGUAGUUGGUUCGUUAGCUUUAGAUACCGUCUUCCCACGUUCCUCGGUUCUGAAACGAAUCAGACUGAAGGCAAGCGUCGUCUCCUUCUGGGAUUCUUCCUGCUUCCGAUUUCCCUUCCUUUGAAGACUUGAGGAAAAUAUAAGCGUUUUCUACUUUGACUGAAGACUCUGAUGCUGUAUUUCAGCUUUUAGCUGAGGAUUUGUUUACGUAAGUCGCACUUUUACUUGAGCAAAGAAUUUGGAGACUUGUAUCAACACGAGCCGCGAAUAUCGGAUCGCUGGUUUAUAUAAAGUCUGAGACACGUGAUAGCGGCGGUGGUGUUAGCUUUAGCAGAAGGAGACGUUAGACUUGGCUCGCAGCCUGCCAAAGCGCAAACAAGUUCGGACGGUUGCUGAUUCACGGUGCUAACUCAGCGUCUGCAAUUCAUCGAGGUUAGAACUACGCGGCGUUAAAUGAGCAGGACCGGGUAAUUAAUUAUAAUUGAUUAUAAUUGAAAUCUCGACACUCCCCGGUUUGUUGUCUUUGAAGUCGUUUACGCAGUCGUCCGAGUUAGCUCGACGUAUGCUGGCGUUGGAAAGGGCUACUCCCAAAACGCCCACAGAAAACCAGAUUCUGUGAUCUUCCAGAUCAUGUCGUAUAGCACAGAGCUUCGCUUUUGUAGGUUUUCGCAGGAUAAGAGAUCAUUUCGUUGGUUUCACAGGCACACUGGAGCGGCUGCGGAGAUGGCGUCCGCCCACGUUUAGCUGUCUUAGCUGCAAAUCCAACUCACUUAAUGUUGUGGUCCCUUUUUACAGAUUUUAAAGAUGCAGUCUAUGAGCUGUUGGGAAUGAGGCUGUGAGACGUGUUUCACGCGAUUUCUCCCCAGGAAUUUGGUUUGAGUAAUGCACAGACCGGGAGAUGUGUGUGGCGUUAAUAGGAGCGGGCUGGUGAGGGACAGCGCGACUGCCUAAGCCCCUCUGCUUUGUUCCCACAUUGCAAGGUUAACGAUUUUCCGUCCUGGGUGGCUGAAUUAGAAUUCAGCUCCCGUCCUCGGCACUGAGACGCUGUCUGCUGCCUUCCCAGCAGCCCCGGCGCACAGUGACAGGGAGAUGGAUGAUAUCUGCAGCAUGGGCCGCUCGGCUCGGGAGGAGGGGGAGAGGGUGCAUUGAGUGCACUCUCUCUCUCUCUCUCUCUCUCUCUCUCUUACACACACACUUUUACACACACAUACACACACACCCCCAAGUUGUGCACACAACCAGACAGUCACAUAUAUGACAGCACAUACACAUGCACACUGUCAUGCACACAUGAAAGCACACACACACACACACACACACACACACACACACACACACACACACAGAUGCAAGGACACAAAGCAUAACGGACAGUCAUGCAUUUUGAUGUAGAUGCAUGUGCACACAUGACAGUGUGGACACACACACACACACACACAAAUGAUAUACAUGACACAUUUGUAUGCAGAUAUACAUCUGAGGCAGGUGCACACAUACACACACACACACACACACAAGUUGGGACAUGCAAACAAUUAAGCACACACUGAGCAAUACAGUGCAGUACAGACUGUAACACACUCACACUAUUAUAAUAUACAAUUAUGCACACAAAAAACAAACACACACACACGUUGUGACAUAAAUACAAUUAUGCACACACAGAGUACUACAGUCCCAUAUACAUUGUGUAUCAACACACACACACACACACGUAGUGUAACUUUAAAAUCCAUUUACGUGCCUUUAUUUAAAGGUACACCAUAUCAACAUUUCUAGGUGAAAGAUACAAACUAUUAGCGUCACCACACCACCAACAUACAGGAAAGGUACGGUUCGGUAUCCCGAAUUUUCUUGCAGGGUGGCUAGUUCUCUCAAUAUCGUGCUGCUUGGCUACCUAGCAUUAGCAAGUAACAUAACGAGGUUCAAAGUUCAGAAGGUUCAGAAUUUCAAACGACACGGUGAAAAUGACGGGCUUUAUUGUGUGAUGUUUGGAUGUGAAGUUGAUGGACACCAGGACAUGUAGUGACACAACACGCUCAAAAUAACGAACAAUACAUCAACACAUUAGGAGAGACAGAAAAGGAUUAUUUCCAUUAUACUUUAUUGAUCAUUUUGAAAUUUCAAAGACACGUUGAAAUAUGUAUAAAUUAUUAUUUUAUUAUUUUUCUAUUUCAUAUUUAUUAGCUUUACAGUAUAAGCACAUUAUAUAUAUAUAUGGCAUUGAAUUAAAGGACCCACAGAAUAAGUUAUACUUAUUAAGUUUGUGUUAUUAUGGAAGUUAUAGGCCUCUCUGGGUGUGUGUGUGUGUGUGUGUGUGUAUGUUUCUACACAUUGUAUAUAGGACUGUAGUACUCUGUGUGUGCAUAAUUGUAUGCAUGUCCUAACAUGUGUGUGUGUGUGGGCAUGCAUUUAUAUCUUGGUCCCCACAAGGGUAAGAAUAUCCGGCAGGUUUGACCUUGCGGGGACAUUUGGCUGGUCCUCAUUGGACGGUCCUCACAAGGACACUAAGACAAAUGUGAACAGUGUAUAUAUGUGUAUAUAUAUAUAUAUAUAUAUAUGUAUGUAUGUAUGUAUGUAUGUAUGUAUGUGUGUGUGUGUGUGUGUGUGUGUGUGUGUGUCUGUGAGUCUUCUGUAUAUGCAGAACUUACCAGCUGUGCUUUCCUUACUGCACACCCUACCACGUGACUUACACACACACACACACACACACACUGCCGCAAGGGUAGCGCUACAUGACUUAUGCAUGGCCGACGUGGAAAAGCCUUUAGGUCGACCAGGAUGACUUCUGGGGAAAGUCACAGACUUCAGUUAGGAGAACGCGUCGCUUUACAUCAGGCGAUAACAUCAGCACGUAAGGUGUACCCAAACCUGUAAAAUAAAUAAACAAACAAACUAAUCAGUAGAUAAAAAGAUGGAUAGAUCAAAUCAAAUCAAGUGACUUUUACUGUCGUUUCAGCCAUCUACAGCUGGUACAGUACGCCAUGAAACAAAACAACGCUCCUCCAGGACCACGGUGAUACAUACAGCAACACAAUAACCACCUGAGACGACACAGAACUAAAUAAGACCUACACGUUUCUACAUAAAGUGUGCAGACAACAACGACUUAUAGAUAGAUAAUAGCCAGCAUCAUCACUGUUAUUAUGUGACGACAUUAUACUAUUUUAAUACGUUAUUAUCGUACUACAUAAUAAAUCUGAUUAAGCUGGACAUAAAAAAACAAAACAAAACCAGAUGCAUACGCAUUACUAUCCAUAAUUAUUAAUGAAGCGAUUUAUUGUUAGGCCCCACCAAAAUCUAACUCUAAUCUCAACCACGGGGACCAGCAAGAUGUCCCAACAAGGUCAAACCUGUGAGAUAUUCCUAUUCUCGUUUAUACGCACACACCACCGGUCAAAAGUUUGCGGACGCUCGACGGAAACGUUUCUCGUGGUCUUAAAAACCUUUUGAUCUGAAGGUGUGUGAUUAAACGUGUGAAAUCGGUGUCGUGGACAACAAAUAUAAUCAUGCAAAAACGUAUUCGUUUCUUCCAUUAGAAAACUAACGUUUCAUUUACGAAUAAAUGUUUGUUUACACGGACGACUCGGAGCGAAACGUUCCGAAAAGCAGCCGGUAAGAGUCCGGCGUCGGCGUGAACUCCUUUAAUACGGUUUAAAAAUCAUCUCGGGGAAAUUCCUCAAGAAAUCGGUCGAGAAAACGGCAAGAACGCAUUUCUGGAAGUUCUAGAAAUUCAGAAAGCGUGUCUAUUUUGAAGAUGCUAAAACACUCAAUUGUUUCGUUUUAUUUUGGAUUUUUUUAACACAACAUAAUUCCCAUAGUUCCACUUGUGCUCCUCCAGAGUUUUGAUGACUUUAUUAUUAUUCGACAAUGUGGAGAAAAAAUUUAAAUAAAGAAUGAGUGUGUGUAAACUUUUGACCAUAGUGUGUAUAUACUGAAUUAAAAACGUAUAAAUUUUUAAAUACAUGCACACACACUAAUUUUAUUUUUUUUUUUUACCUGCAUGCUGCACAAGGUGACUUCUUAACUUUCUAUUCCUGAAAAAAAAGAUGAACAGGACGUGAGUUAAUGAGACAGUAACAUGAAAAGGCAGAUCUCUCUCUCUCUCUCUCUGUGUGUGUGUGUGUUUUUUCUCUCAGAGUUCACUUGAGGAUGCAGGAAAGCAGAUGUACGAGUUUUUCCCUGCCAAAACUCUCUGUGAGCUCUAAUACAAAGGAAGACCGCAAGCUGAGUAGUGUAGGUACUUGUGUAUGUGUGUGUGCGCGCGCGUCACACUCUCUUUCCCCUCACAGAACAACUUCGCUAAAGUUCCCACGUUCAGCUGCCAAUCACACGCCGGUCACACUCGAUUUACACAACCACAAACACAGGUUUGCUCAAGGGAAGGUUUCAGCAAUAUAAUCAGUGUGUGUGUGUGUAUGAGUGAGUGUCCACAGCAGAAAGUUAAGGCUGGUACACCUUCGGCGCAUGUUGCCAAUGGCUGGUGAGUUAAAAGUGGCGCCAGCUGUAGGUCGUAUUGAAGCUGUGGCCUCUGGAAAGACCGAGCUAUGAGACACAGCCUCAUUAUCCUCUACAACGAGAGAGAAAGAGAGAGAGAGAGAGAGAGAGAGAGAGAGAGAGACAGUCGCGGUUCAAUAACUCCGACCAGAUAGCACGUUUCCCUGGCAACACCUCCGAAGCAGCUCUGCAGAGAUCCCAGAGAGAGAGAGAGAGAGAGAGAAAGAGAGAGACAGAAAGGGGGAGGGCGAACAAGGGGAAGGAAGGAAGGAAGGAAGGAAGGAAGGAGGAGACCUAGACAGCGUUGGGGUGGGAGGCAGUUCUGGGUGACACUUGUGCUCAGUACAAACAUUAAAGACUGUUAACACACACAAACAGGAGUCCAGCGGAGAACGUACACACCCAUACAUACUUUUUUUUCUUAACCAGGUAAUGUGUGUGUACAGACUUCUAAUGAUGAGUGUAUUACAUACGCUCCAUAUUUCCAUCCUUUAUGAGCCAACAGCAGAACCGUGAGACUUUGGGAAUAAAAAUGUCCCGCAUAGCGUUUGAAGCUAAUUUGAUUAGCGCUAAUAAAAUUCAAAGACCGAUGUUACAUUAUGUAUGUGUAAAGGAUACACACGAAUGGUCCAUUCUUGUGGCAUUCACGACUUCCGAAGUUGACUUGGGAAAUUUCCACUGUCACUCUGCCUUUAUACUGUGCAUAUAAGUGCAAGCUCGCUAAAUCAUUAGCGUCAGCCAUUAGAUACAACAAUGUAACACUUAGUAGUACCAGUGAAGGAGGCGUGUCCUCUUUGUCUGUAAGUACAGUGAAGGAGGUGUGUCCUCUGUGUCUAUAAGUACAGUGAAGGAGGCGUGUCCUCUGUGUCUAUAAGUACAGUGAAGGAGGCGUGUCCUCUGUGUCUAUAAGUACAGUGAAGGAGGCGUGUCCUCUUUGUCUGUAAGUACAGUGAAGGAGGUGUGUCCUCUGUGUCUAUAAGUACAGUGAAGGAGGCGUGUCCUCUUUGUCUGUAAGUACAGUGAAGGAGGCGUGUCCUCUUUGUCUGUAAGUACAGUGAAGGAGGCGUGUCCUCUUUGUCUGUAAGUACAGUGAAGGAGGUGUGUCCUCUGUGUCUAUAAGUACAGUGAAGGAGGCGUGUCCUCUUUGUAAGUACAGUGAAGGAGGUGUGUCCUCUUUGUAAGUACAGUGAAGGAGGUGUGUCCUCUUUGUCUGUAAAUACAGUGAAGGAGGCGUUUCCUCUUUGUCUGUAAGUACAGUGAAGGAGGCGUGUCCUGUGUCUAUAAGCACAGUGAAGGAGGCGUGCCCUCUUUGUAAGUACAGUGAAUGAGGCGUGUCCUCUUUGUCUGUAAGUACAGUGAAGGAGGCGUGUCCUCUGUGUCUAUAAGUACAGUGAAGGAGGCGUGUCCUCUGUGCUGGUUAGUCUCUGCGAAAGAGGCGUGGUCUCUGCGUCUAUCAGUACUAGCGAAGGAGGCGUGUCCUUGAACUUGAACUUACAGAAUACUGUAUCGUAUAUACAGCAGGCAGAUUUAAAAGUGUUUUUCACACUUCGGAUUGUGACCACAUCACACACUGAACACUAAAGAACACUAACUCCCAACGCUAUCGGCAACGCCCACUGCAGAGCUUCCGUAAAUGAAUCCCAGCGUUUCAGCGUAAGCCCAGCAUGCAUUUAAUGGUUGAGUGACUAUAACGGAGACUGCGACGACAAAAAUCUGUGAACAUGGAGCGAAUGUUUGACUUUGGAUUGGGACGGAGUCUAAUUCUGAUUAGAAUACGCAGGUGACUGUCUGGCCUCCCACUGCAGUGUCUGGAAACUCAGACAUAAGACUCCCCACCCGCUCCCCCCUCCUGCGUGUGCAACACACACACACACACACACACACACACACACACACACACACACACACACACUGCUGGUUUCUCAGAUUUGGAUUGAUAAGACUUCGGCAAAGUCUGACAUUAACGCCGCCUUCGAUCGAUAGGAAAAACAAGGCUGUAAUCCUCCAAAUCUGGACGCCGUCUCAAGCUCCUGAGCAGCUCUUAAUCUACUUUCGGCAUGUUUCACAUGCACAGAUGUUAAGUACAGUUUGUAAAGGACACAAGCGCUUUCUUUAACCCCCUCGACAGACCGUUUUAAUACGGCGUCUACCACCGUCAGCCUUUAUCGCUUGACAUUUAAGAGAAUUUUCUCACGGCGCUUGGCGAGACAGGUGAGACCACGCAGCAGAACGGGGCACCUGUGUGCCGCAUUUUCAUCAAGCGAUGGAACGACCGAGAAGCUGCUUUCAUUUCAUACAAACUGCUUUAAAUAUGAGUCGUACGAACGCUCAUUACUGAGUUUUAGUAUUUAGAUGUCCGUUUUACUACAUCCCCAGCUCUUAUUCGACUUUUAUUUAUUUAUUUAUUUAUUUAUUUAUUUUUACAGGAUUGCAGGGAUGUUAAAUGAUUACUUCCUGAAUGAAGUCGGGGCCUGACACGAGUGAUGUGAGGUCGAGGUAAAGCUAUAUAAUGAAAAAUAAGUGACCAUGACAAGAUGACAAAUGCUGAUGUCCUCCCUCUAGGGAUCUAACGAAGAAAGAAGAAAAAGAAAAAGAAAAGAAAGGGAAAAAAAAAAAAAAAAAAAAAACGCAGAACAUGACUUUUUUUUCUUUUCUUUUCCCUUUUUAAAGAACGUGUGCUCUGUGAUUUAUUAGGGAGCGCAGUACGCUAAUCAAGCGUAUUAAAACUGAAGUAAAUAUGCGAGGGUGACAGACACUCCCUCAUAAUAAAGACGGAUAAAUGAAACACGAGGAAAGCAAAUAAUACAAAUCAGUGUUUAAAAACCUUUCCUUUUUUUUUUUUACUGCUUAUAGAGGAAGUGAUUAUCGUAGCAUCUGCACUUGAAAAGGUCUUUGUGUGCGUGUGUGUGCGCGUGUGUGUCUGCCUUCAUCUCUGUCUUGUGUGUAAAACAAACCGAGACACGCAAAUGACCGAUAUGCCAAUGUGUCCCUGACUAAAUCUGUAAAUAUUAAAAGCAAGCGGAGUGAGGAGGGGUGCGUGUGUGUGUGUGUGCGUGUGUGUGGCUCACUAGACCCUUUAAAACACAUCAAUCCAUUUAUUAAACAUUUUUUUUUUCAUUUGCCGUCGCGCCACAUCCUCUGUACUCAGCUAUAGAGGGGGGUCGAAUAUUUAUAGGACGGUUCAGAUGAGCUCUGAAAAGUGUGCUGUGCGUGUGUGUGUGUGUGUGUGUGUGUUGGUGGGGGUAGGGAGAGCAGUGAAUUUCAUCAUUGCCUUGGCGCUGCCAGGCUUCGGCAAGUGUCAGACAGAUUCUAAUAAAAGUGUCUGGCCCCACGGUGGGCACCGGGCUGGCGCUUGCCGUGCCGCGGCUGACUGCUUGGUAUGCGUGGAGCAUGGCAGCGCUUCAGCUGUUGCUGGGGGCUCUGUGGUAAAGAGUCACACUGAUUAGUUGGCAUCGGCCAUUGUUCGGUGCGAGACCAAACGGGGGGAGAAAAUACAAUUAGAGCCCGAGAGAGACGGUGAAAGAGAGAGAGAGACCGAGACAGAGAGACAGAGUGCGAAAGAGAAAGAGAGAGAGAGCGUCUGAAGGGAAAAGCCAUUGUUUUUGAAAAACAGCAUUUCUAAUGUGGGUAAUUUAGCAAAAUUAGAUUCUUAAAAGUUGAACACUCCGGGGAGCACGUAACAAAAUUAGCCGUAACACUUAAUGAGCUCGGUUCGCGGAGGGAAAGAACGAAGAAGAAGAAAAGAGAAUCCGAGUGUACCGAGUGAACCCGGACUGCAGAUCAGUCGUUAAAUGUCAGGCCGCCUUUCCGGCGGGAGCAGACGCCUGGGCGGCAUUAGAGAAACUAAUCUGCAGUUCGGUUCUGAAAGUUUGCGCCGAUAUUCUGAGACGAGGAGGUGUGUGGAUUAAUUAAGCGACAGAAACCGUACCAGGAGUCAGACUUUGUCUGGGGGGGGGAGAAAAAAAAAAAAGACAGAGCAAUGAGCGGUGUGUUUACUCAAUACGUGAAACCCUUUUAAGGACAAGGUGGUGAAUAACGAAGGAACACGAGGAACAACGUGCGUAACCGAUUCAUGUUUAAAACGGUACUGAGGGCUGAGGACGAACCGGGUGUCGUGCCUGGAUGAAAAGGGAAAAAAAGAAGAAAAAAAAAAACCCCCACGGAGAUGUUACUUGAACGUUACAGAUUACAGGACGUCCUUUUACUGCAAAAAUGCCUGUUUUAAACGUCAUCAACCUCCUCGUGAGUGAGGAAAAAAAAAAAACACAGUGUUUUGCUCGGCGUCGUUUGUUUUUAAUUCGGAGAAGUCGAUAUCCGAUAAGGCUUCGUUAAGAGAAUCGUUAAAGUAAUAAUCUCUUAUUGACGUGAAAGGGCGACUAGACGACACGUUAGUAAUCUACGCAUCUUUACGCACGUUAGAUUGUUGAGUAACAGAGGACGCAUCGUGCUGCCUAGUGGCCUGCGAGGGAAAAACACAUCAACAGCUAAACAAGUUGGACAAAAUUAAAAAUCUUUAUUUUAAAGUUUUAUUGAACAACCUCUACAAGCCGAACACAGAUUCGUUACAGAACAUGCGGCGCGAUGAAAGCUGCGUGGGGGGAAAAAACAACAACAACAACAACAACAACAACAAAGCGAAGAAAGGCGUUGUCUAGACUGCAAACUGCUGUAACAGCAGCUUUCCGCCAGGUCUAACUGCUUCACCGUCCCUGGUUCCUUUUAGUCCCUGUUCCUAGGACAUCGGUCGGCGUCCUGCCUCGCUCUCCUGCGUCGCCUCGGGAGGAAAGUUCGAAGAGUCGCUCUUGCCCUCCGCCCAGGUCCCAAGAGCCUAACCCGUGAUUUUGCAUUCACUCAGCUCACAAGUUAGGGUCUCAGGGAACAGGAGAAGUACAGCAUGGUCCGAAGAGGUGCAGGGGUUAGAGUGUGUGGGGGGGAAGAACCAGGAUCCUGUCUCUCGCUCUCUCUCUCUCGCUCUCUCUCUAUCAUGCACACACACACACACACACACACACACACACACGCGCGCGCCCUCUUUCCUGUGUGGCUGCUCUUUGUUCAGCGUCCGGCUCUGUUCGUCUCGGCGGGCCAAAGCUCUGUCUGGUACCGUACAACAACACCGGCCCUCUGCAGACGGAUCAGGAUAUAAACACACACACACACACACACACACACAAAAUCCCCCCUCCUCUCCACCCCGAUAUUUCACCCGAUAACGUGUCCUGCAUUCCACGCUAGUCGCUAAAAUCCGAACGCUGACCCGACCGGACGAAAGCAGGCGACGCGACCGAUAAAGAGCAAACGAGUUUUUAAAAACGAACACGCCUUUUCAGACUUUCGCAUUUCUCCGUCGAAAAUGCAGCGGCGAGUCCGUGGCACCCUGCGCUGCGCUAACUAGCCUUUGUUGGCUGAGGUAAGCCCCCAGUCAGACGGUCAGUCUCUCUCUCUCUUUCUCUCUCUCUCUCUUCUUUGUCUUCAGAGCCACAGCAUUGGUGUGCAUCUCUCACCUUGCUGAUCUGCUGCAAGCGGCUUGUACGGAAAGGCAGAGGUGCAGCUCAGACACAGAGAAAGGGGGAAGGACUCGGGAUUCGCGCCUCUCGCAAACGAUUCCGUAUCAGCAAAAAAAGAAAGAAAGGAAAGGAAAAAAAAGAGAAAAAAGUGCGAGCCGCUGAUCGGCGGCGGCUGCAGUUCUCCGCCGCUCCCCCUCUACUCCCCCCAACCUGCACUCAUUUAACUCAGACACACAGCCACUGCGACACCCCCC
ensembl:lncRNA